GACGAACGCUGGCGGCGUGCUUAACACAUGCAAGUCGAACGGAAAGGCCCUGCUUUUGUGGGGUGCUCGAGUGGCGAACGGGUGAGUAACACGUGAGUAACCUGCCCUUGACUUUGGGAUAACUUCAGGAAACUGGGGCUAAUACCGGAUAGGAGCUCCUGCUGCAUGGUGGGGGUUGGAAAGUUUCGGCGGUUGGGGAUGGACUCGCGGCUUAUCAGCUUGUUGGUGGGGUAGUGGCUUACCAAGGCUUUGACGGGUAGCCGGCCUGAGAGGGUGACCGGCGACAUAGGAGCUGAGAUACGGGCCAGACUACUACGGGAGGCAGCAGUGGGGAAUAUUGCACAAUGGGCGGAAGCCUGAUGCAGCAGCGCCGCGUGCGGGAUGACGGCCUUCGGGUUGUAAACCGCUUUCGCCUGUGACGAAGCGUGAGUGACGGUAAUGGGUAAAGAAGCACCGGCUAACUACGUG
rnacentral:rRNA from 1 species